rnacentral:rRNA from 2 species
UACGAAGGGGGCUAGCGUUGUUCGGAAUUACUGGGCGUAAAGCGCACGUAGGCGGAUUGUUAAGUGAGGGGUGAAAUCCCGGGGCUCAACCCCGGAACUGCCUCUCAUACUGGCAAUCUCGAGUUUGGGAGAGGUGAGUGGAAUUCCGAGUGUAGAGGUGAAAUUCGUAGAUAUUCGGAGGAACACCAGUGGCGAAGGCGGCUCACUGGCCCAAAACUGACGCUGAGGUGCGAAAGCGUGGGGAGCAAACAGG